UACGAAGGGGGCUAGCGUUGCUCGGAAUCACUGGGCGUAAAGGGUGCGUAGGCGGGUCUUUAAGUCAGGGGUGAAAUCCUGGAGCUCAACUCCAGAACUGCCUUUGAUACUGAAGAUCUUGAGUUCGGGAGAGGUGAGUGAACUGCGAGUGUAGAGGUGAAAUUCGUAGAUAUUCGCAAGAACACCAGUGGCGAAGGCGGCUCACUGGCCCGAUACUGACGCUGAGGCACGAAAGCG
rnacentral:rRNA from 1 species